UAGUUUAUCUUAUUAUUGAGUGUGGUAUUUCGUUCCGAUAUUUAUUGGACGAAUAUUUCGGACAUUAUACUGAUCAUUGUACAGGUAAAAGUAUUCACACACAGUCACUGACCGCCAUACCGGUAAGACGUGUGUCAUUUUUGAGGCCAUAACCAGACAUAGAGUCGCAAAGACCACCAAUUAACGGGAUGUCUGGUUUUUACGUUGGGACAUGGACCCAAACAUACACGGCCUGAGGUGGAUGGAUUUGUGGGGAAAACAACUGACGGUGGAUUAUGUCAGUUCCACAUAGAGGAGCACUCGCGGGACCUACUAUACGAUAGGUGCAGCAGUGGCACAUAGAGGUCAGAGUGGCUUGCUGGAAACAGGCUGCGGCUCCAGCGGUGCA